UAAGCAUCUGGGGGAAUGGCAUAAUCACUUUCAGAAGCCACUGAAGACAGAGACACACCUAGAUGAAUAAAGAAAUAAAUUAAGUCUGGGAACCUGGGUGGCUCAGUGGGUU